rnacentral:rRNA from 1 species
UACGAAGGGAGCUAGCGUUGUUCGGAAUCACUGGGCGUAAAGCGCACGUAGGCGGAUGUGUCAGUCAGGGGUGAAAUCCCGGAGCUCAACUUCGGAACUGCCUUUGAUACAGCACGUCUUGAGUCCGGAAGAGGUGGGUGGAAUUCCUAGUGUAGAGGUGAAAUUCGUAGAUAUUAGGAAGAACACCAGUGGCGAAGGCGGCUCACUGGUCCGGUUCUGACGCUGAGGCGCGAAAGCGUGGGGAGCAAACAGG